CCUACGGGGGGCAGCAGUGAGGAAUAUUGGUCAAUGGGCGCGAGCCUGAACCAGCCAAGUAGCGUGAAGGAUGACUGCCCUACGGGUUGUAAACUUCUUUUAUAAAGGAAUAAAGUGAGUCACGUGUGCCUCUUUGUAUGUAUUUUAUGAAUAAGGAUCGGCUAACUCCGUGCCAGCAGCCGCGGUAAUACGGAGGGUCCGAGCGUUAUCCGGAUUUAUUGGGUUUAAAGGGAGCGUAGGUGGGUUGUUAAGUCAGUUGUGAAAGUUUGGGGCUCAACCGUGAAAUUGCAAUUGAUACUGGCAGGCUUGAGUACAGUUGAGGUAGGCGGAAUUCGUGGUGUAGCGGUGAAAUGCUUAGAUAUCACGAAGAACUCCGAUUGCGAAGGCAGCCUACUAGACUGCCACUGACGUUGAUGCUCGAAAGUGUGGGUAUCAAACAGGAUUAGAUACCCUUGUAGUC
rnacentral:rRNA from 1 species